CCCUUAGAUGUUCUGGGCCGCACGCGCGCUACACUGACGAAGUCAGCGAGCAUGUCCUACGCCGACAGGUGCGGGGAAUCUUGUCAAACUUCGUCGUGAUGGGGAUUGAUUAUUGAAAUUCUUGAUCAUCAACGAGGAAUUCCUAGUAAACGCAGAUCAUCAAUCUGCAUUGAUUACGUCCCUGCCCUUUGUACACACCGCCCGUCGCACCUACCGAUUGGAUGGUCCGGUGAAGCCUCGGGAUUGUGGUUCUUGCCGCUUUAUUGUGGCGUGACCGCGAGAACUUGUCUAAACCUUAUCAUCUAGAGGAAGGAGAAGUCGUAACA
rnacentral:rRNA from 1 species